rnacentral:rRNA from 1 species
GAUGAACGCUGGCGGCGUGCUUAAUACAUGCAAGUCGAGCGAAUGGAUUAAGAGCUUGCUCUUAUGAAGUUAGCGGCGGACGGGUGAGUAACACGUGGGUAACCUGCCCAUAAGACUAGGAUAACUCCGGGAAACCGGGGCUAAUACCGGAUAAUAUUUUGAACUGCAUGGUUCAAAAUUGAAAGGCGGCUUCGGCUGUCACUUAUGGAUGGACCCGCGUCGCAUUAGCUAGUUGGUGAGGUAACGGCUCACCAAGGCAACGAUGCGUAGCCGACCUGAGAGGGUGAUCGGCCACACUGGGACUGAGACACGGCCCAGACUCCUACGGGAGGCGGCAGUAGGGAAUCUUCCGCAAUGGACGAAAGUCUGACGGAGCAACGCCGCGUGAGUGAUGAAGGCUUUCGGGUCGUAAAACCCUGUUGUUAGGGAAGAACAAGUGCUAGUUGAAUAAGCUGGCACCUUGACGGUACCUAACCAGAAAGCCACGGCUAACUACGUGCCAGCCGCCGCAGUAA